GGUUACGUUCAUACGACACCGAAUGUGCCGUAUCUCAUUCCGAAACUCAUUCCGAAUCGCGAAGCCAAAUGGUGUUUGGCCUGUUCAGUACUCGGGAGGGGGACCACCGGGGAACCGCAUGGUGAUGUAACCG
rnacentral:rRNA from 1 species